GCUGACACCACUUGAAGAUAAGCCCGUUCCUCUCUCUGGGUCAAGCCUGCAAUACCUAAAGCUCCAGACCUGGAACCCAAAGCUCCCAUCAGUCGCUACCCUGUGAACCUGUGGAGGAUCUGAAGUACCUGUUUAAAAGGCAUCCAAAAGAUAGAAUCUAUCAAGCUACAAAUGGCUAUGUUGCCUGAAGCCCCAGACAUCAUCCUACAAGAAAUAAGUCCAGACUUCUUAAUUUCCCCCUGGAUAGAGCAGGGUAAGAGUUCUGUGGUCCCCUGUUAGGUGGGGCCAGCAGUCCCACUCAGCUGGAAGCAAGUAUAGAAGAAAGAACUUCAACCCUCAGCAACCUAUUAUGAUUUAUGGGGAUCACAUCUCUCAGAGGGAAUUGAGGCAGGAGAAUAGGGAAGGAAGUCAGAAAAUCAACCUGCAGCCUUUUCUCACCAAAACAAGCAUAAGGCACCAUCUGAUAAGGAAGCUGAAGCAAUGAACCAAUGCUUUCUGCAGUAAACAAAUCUGGUAUAACCUUUUAUUAUAAUAAGUUACUUAAAGCCCAUACAUAUGGAAUGCAUAUCAUACAUACACUUAAAAUUAUGGAAUGGCAAGCACAUGCAGGCGCACUGAGAGAGAAAACCAACAAGAAAACUGAUAUGUCAAUUAUAGGCAACCUCCUCCCUAAAAGUUAAGUAAGAGUAGUAAGGUGGUAUAAAAGAACAAAGGCUAUGUUAACCCAGGGCUGAUACCACUCGCGGAUCAGCCCAUUCUUCUCUCUGGAACAUUCUUUGCUUAAUACAUCUUGUGGGGUCAUUAUUUGUGUGUCUCCUCCAAUUCUUUGUUUGCAACACCAAGAACCUGGAAAUCCAACUUCCAAUCUGGUAACACUUCUACUCUAAAAAUGUGCUUACUCUUUGUAUAGCAUGUAACUGCUCUAUUGGUUGUACCCAUUCAUAUAUUAAUGUUUCCACUUUUUAUGCCUCCUCUGUUUUUCUCAUGCCUUAAUGAGCUGUUUUAUGGAAUUUCUAGGAGGCAAUGAGUUGAGUUCUAUAGAUGACUUUUGUACAUCUUGCACAUGUACAAUUUAACACUUUUUUGUGAACAACAGAUAUCUUUUUUGAAAAGAGGUAGUCAUAGAUUAAUAUCAUAGCAAAAUGGCUGUGCAACGGCCAUCCAGUCAAGAUUACUCUUUAGCUUCCCUUUGCCCCAAGCACAUACCAAUUAGAAAAUGUAAAAAUAAAACCCAAAAAAGAAAUGCAAAAAGGUGAGUAGGAUGAAAGCCAUUAGUGAGCUUUGUUCCAAGUGACAUGGAAGACCAGAGUCAAGGUCACUGCUGAACUUCAAGGCCUGAGGUCAGGGUCCCUGGAUGUUUUAGGCAGUUCUCACAUUGCUAUAAAGAAAUACCUGAGACUGGGUAAUUUAAAAAGAAAAGAGGUUCAACUGACUUACUAGCAAACUGAAUUCAACAACACAUUUAAAAGAUCAUUACGACCAAAUGGGAUUUACCCCAGGGAUGCAAGGAUGGUUCAACAUAUGCAAAUCAAUGUGAUACAUCACAUUAACAGAAUGAAGGACAAAAACUAUAUGAUUAUUUCAGUUGAUGCUGAAAAAGCACUUGAUAAAAUUCAAUAUCCCUUCAUGGAAACCCUCAAAGGGCCAGGCACAGUGGCUCACACCUGUAAUCCCAGCACUUUGGUAGGCUGAGGUGGGCAGAUUGCUUGAGCCCAAGAGUUGGAGACCAGCCUGCACAACAAGGUGAAAUCCCAUCUCUACAAAAAAAUACAAAAGUUAGCCAGGUGUGAUGGUACACACCUGUAGUCCCAGCUACUUGGGAAGCCGAGAUGAGAGGAUUGCUUCAGGUCAGGAGGUCAAGGCUUCAGUGAAGAGAUCACACCACUGCAUUCCAGCCUGGGCAACAAAGUGAGACCCUUUCUCAAAAAAGAAUCUCAAAAAACUGGGUAUAGAAGGAACUACCUUUACAUAAUAAAAGCCACAGCUUGUAUCAUACUAAAAGAGAGAAAAAACCUUUCCUGUAAGAUCUAGAACAUGACAAGGAUGCCCUCUUUCACCACUGUUGUUCAACAUAGUGCUGGAAGUCUUAGCUAGAGAAUUUCAGAGAAGAGAACAAAAUAAAGAGCAUUCAAAUCGGAAAUGAAGAGGUCAAAUUAUCCUUGUUUGCAGAUGAUAUGAUCUUAUAUUUGGAAAAACCUAAAGACUCCACCAAAAAAGUAUUAGAACUGAUAAAUUCAGUAAAGCUGUGUGAUACAAAAUCAACUUAUGAAAAUCAGUAGCAUUUCCACAUGCCAACAGUGAACAAUCUAAAAAAGAAUUUUAAAAGUUAUCCCACUUACAAUAGCUACAAAUAAAAUUAGAUACCUAGGAAUUACCUUAAUUAAAGAAGUGAAAGAUUGCUACAAUUCAAAACUAUAAAACAUGUGAUGAAAGAAAUUGAAGAGGACACACAAAAAUGGAAGGAUAUUCCAUGUUCAUGAAUUGGAAGAAUAAAUAUUGUUAAAAUGUCCAUAAUACUUAAAGUAAUCUAAAAUUCAGCCCCUGAUAUUCAACGUGGGUCCUUUUCUAUUUUCCCUAAGUGAUGGCCAGUCUGAGAAAUAAAGGGAAAGAGUACAAAAGAGAGAAAUUUUAAAGCUGGGUGUCCAGGGGAGACAUCACAUGUCGGCAGUUUCCAUGAUGCCCCCCAAGCUGCAAAACCAGCAAGUUUUUAUUAGUGAUUUCCAAAGGGGAGGGAGUGUACAAAUAGGGUGUGGGUCACAGAGAUCUCAUGCUUCACAAGGUAAUAAAAUAUUACAAGGCAAAUGGAGGCAGGGUGAGAUCACAGGACUGGGGUGAAAUUAAAAUUGCUAAUGAAGUUUCGGGCAUGCAUUGUCAUUGAUAACAUCUUAUCAGGAGACAGGGUUUGAGAGCAGACAACCGGUCUGAUCAAAAUUUAUUAGGUGGGAAUUUCCUCAUCCUAAUAAGCCUGGGAGCGCUACGCGAGACCGGGGCUUAUUUCUUCCCUUAUCUACAACUGUAAAAGACAGACAUUCCCAGAGCAGCCAUUUCAGAGACCUCCUCCUAGGAAUGCAUUCUCUUUCUCAGGGCUAUUUCUUGCUGAGAAAAUGAAUUCAGUGAUAUUUCUCCUAUUUGCUUUUGAAAAAAGAGAAAUAUGGCUUUGUUCUGCCCAGCUUUCAGGCAGCCAGACCUAAUGGUUGUCUCCCUUGUUCCCUGAACAUUGCUGUUAUCCUGUUCUUUUUUCAAGGUGCCCAGAUUUCAUAUUGUUUAAACAAUUUGUGCAGUUAACCCAAUCAUCACAGGGUCCUGAGGCAACAUACAUCCUCAGCUUAUGAAGAUGACAGGAUUAAGAGAUUAAAGUAAAGACAGGCAUAGGAAAUCACAAGAGUAUUGAUUGGGGAGUGAUAAAUGUCCAUGAAAUCUUCACAAUUUAUGUUCAGAGAUUGCAGUAAAGACAGGCAUAAGAAAUUGUAAAAGUAUUAAUUUGGGGAACUAAUAAAUGCCCAUGAAAUCUUCACAAUUUAUGUUCUUCUACCAUGGCUUCAGCCAGUCCCUCCGUUCGGGGUCCCUGAAUUCCCACAACACAGAUUCAAUGCAAUCUCUGUCAAAAUAUCAAUAACAUUCUGCACAGAAAUUUUUAAAAAUCCUAAAAUUGAUAUGGAACCACAAAAGACCCAGAGUAGCCAAAGCUAUCCUGAGCAAAAAGAACAAAACUGGAGGAAUCACAUUACUUGAUUUCAGAUAAUACUACAGAGGUAUAGUAACCAAAAUGGCAUAGUACUGGCAUAAAAAUAGACCAAUGGAACAGAACAGAGAAUGCAGAAACAAAUCCAUACAUCCAGAGUGAACUCAUUUUUGACAAAGGUGCCAAUAACAUGCAUUGGGGAAAGGACAGUCUCUUCAGUAAAUGGUGCUGGGAAAACUGGAUAUCCAUAUGCAGAAUGAAACUAGACCACUAUCUCUCCUCAUAUACAAAAAUCAAAUCAAAAUGGAUUAAAGACAUAUCUAACUCCUAGAACUAUGAAACUACUACAAGAAAACAUUGGGGAAACUCUCCAGGACAUUGGACUAGGCAAAGAUUUCUUGAGUAAUACUCCAAAAACACAGGCAACCAAAGCAAAAAUAUAAAAUAGGUUCACAUCAAGUUAAAAAGCUUCUGCACAGCAAAAGAAACCAUCAACAAAGAGGCAACCUGCAGAAUGGGAGAAAAUAUUUGCAAACUACCAUCUGACAAGGGAUUAAUAACAGAAACUAUAAGGAGCUCAAACAACUCUAAAGGAAAAAUAUAAUAAUCCAAUUUAAAAAAUGAGCAAAAGAUCUGAAUAGACACUUCUCAAAAGAUGACAUACAAAUGGCAGACAGGUAUAUGAAAUUGAUCAUCAGAGAAAUGCAAAUCAAAGCUACAAUGAGAUAUCAUCUCACUCCAGUUAAAAUGGUUUCUAUCCAAAAGUGAGACAAUAAUAAAUGCUGGAGAGGAUAUGGAGAAAAGGGACCCUCGUACACUAUAUUUGGGAAUGUAAAUCAGUACAACCACUGUGGAGAAGUUUGGAGAUGCCUCCAAAAACUAAAAAUAGAGCUACCAUAUGAUCUAGCAACCCCACUGCCAGGUAUAUUCCUAAAAGAAAGGAAAUCAGUAUAUCAAAGAGAUAUCUGCACUCCUAUGCUUAUUGCAGCACUAUUCAUAGUAGCCAAGAUUUGAAAGUAACCUAAAUGUUCAUCAGCAGAUGAAUGGAUAAAGAAAAUGUGGUACAUAUACACAAUGGAAUACUAUUCAGCCAUAAAAAAGAAUGAGAUUCUGUCAUUUGCAACAACAUGGAUGGAACUGGAGGCCACUGUGUUAAGAUAAGCCAGGCAGAGAAAGACAAACUUUGUAUGUUCUCACUUAUUUGUGGGAGCUAAAACUUAAAACCAUUGAACUCGUGGAGAUAGAGAGUAGAAAGAUGGUUCACUUCAAAACAAAACAAAACAAAACAAACAAAAGCAGUGAAGUAUAAGAAGGACUUGAUGAAAAAAAAGGACAUAACAAGCUGGCUUACUGGCUCAAAAAUGGAAGGGGCAGUCUGAGGGGAAUGCAAACAUCCUAGAGGGGCUGAGAGAGAGCCUGUUCACAGCCAGCAACUGUUAACUGAACCUUAGCCCUACAGCUGUAGGAAAUGAAUUCCUUACACCAAUCUGAAUGAGCAGGCCCUACCCCAGAUUCUCUUAUCUCUAGAUAAGAGCCCAGGCACUUUGAUUUAGGGAGCAGAGCCCACCUAGAGAGUUCUGACCUGCAGAACUAUGAUAUAAUACCUGUGGGUUGUUCUAAACUGCUAAGGUUGGGGUGAUUUGUUUUUGUAGCAACAGAAAAACAAAUAUAGCUGAGAAGUCAGGCUUGAAGAGAUAACAGCUAAGAAUUUUCCGGAAGUGAAUCAAGGCACAAAUCUUCCGAUAAAAGUUUGCACCAUCUAACUAAGGAGAGCAGGUUAAACAUACACAGUUAUUUCAGCUCUCUCCCUCCUUCACUCCCCUAAAACUACAAUAAAGGGCUUAUUUAUUUAUUUGACAGAGUCUUGCUCUGUCGCUCAGGCUGCAGUGCAGUGGCACAAUCUCUGCAACCUGCCUGCUCCUGGGCUCAAGUGAUUCUCCUGCCUCAGCCUCCCGAGUAGCUGGGACCACAGGAGUGUGCCACCAUGACUGGCUAAUUUUUGUAUUUUUUGUAGAGAUGGGGUUUCACCAUGUUGCCCAAGCUAGUCUCCAACUCCUGGGCUCCAGUGAGUCACCUGCCUCAGCCUCCCAAAGUGCUGGGAUUACAGGCAUGAGACACCACACCCGGCCAAUAAAGGAAUUUUUAAGGUGCUUUUUAAAAACCAUCAGGUCAAAGAGAUUGUAGAGAAGACAAUAUCAAUACAAUUUGAGGACUGCAUAGCAGAAGGACAGCUGGAAACUGACUUAGCUCAGAAAAUUUUGAAUCUCAUCCAGCAGUGGGAAAAGCUCAGGAGCAACCUAACGACUCUGUAGAAACCUCAAAAGGCACAGGUGGCACCAGGUAGCUCUGGAAGUGGAAAUGAAGUGGGGCUAAAAGCAGCAGGAUUGUCUCCGGUGGAGUGUUUCCCACCGUCUUCUGCUGUAGAGAAUCGUGAGCUGGUUCCAUGCAGUUUCACCUUAGGCAUGGGUGGAUGCUUUCCUUCCCCACCUUCACGACUUCUGCAGGUGCCCCCAGCAGGAAGGAUCCAUGGCAGGCUGAGCAAACUCUCUGGGCACAGACAGGCAUUAUUCAUGCCGGACAUCAACAAGCUCUUUUCUGGCUGCUAUCAAUGUGGUCUUCUCUAGGGAACAAUAAGAAAGAUAGAUGAUGACGCUCCUAGACACUGUGAUAGAAAUGCGUAGGCUAACUUGUCUCCCCAGACUAACCUGUCUUCCAGCAGCUCCUUGGCAUUUGCUUGCUCAGGGUGUGGGGUGUGAAAGGCAGGAAUUUCCUGGGCCAGAGCUGAUUCCAUCAGUGCAUGGCCCAGCUGAUUCCAACCUGACUUAUGCUGAUUCCAUCAGUGUAUCUGGUCCCUUCCCUACUUUUCCUCCUUGUAUUAGUUUCCUCAAGCUGCUGUUAACAAUGAUCACAAAUGGGCUGGGCACAGUGGUUCAUGCCUGAAAUCCCAGCAGUUUGGGAGGCUGAGGUGGGAGGACUGCUUAAGCCCAAGAGUUCGAG
rnacentral:lncRNA from 1 species